GUUCCCUGCAGGUAAUCUCUCUAAUUCAAUUCACCUGCCGGCCUGAAGAAGCUGCCAGCUGUUGGCUGCAUGUUGUUGCUGUAACAUUAGAAGACCUGCAGCUGCCCGUCAUGUGGAACCAAGCGUGCAGUCAGUCCCCUGGUGGGCUGAGCAGCCACAGAGCAGUGACAUCAAAGAUGACAACCCUGCACAUUUUGCCCUGCACAGUGUCUCAGCUGCUGUCAGCGUCUCAGGUCAGCAAUGAUUCCUUUGCGAUCUGCGACCUGGAAAUCAACCAGGUGUCGGUCGUGGGCGUCGUCAGAGGCUUUGCUCCCUUUGUGACAAACAUCCAGUUCUCUGUGGACGACAUGACCGGUCCUGCUUUAAACGUGAAGCAGUGGCUGAACACACAGGACUGUGCUCCCGUCACGUUCACUUCUCCUGGAACAUAUGUGAAGGUUUCUGGAAGUCUCCGCUGCUUCAAAGAUCAAAGGUCGUUGCUGGCAAACUAUAUCCGUUGCAUCAAUGACCCGAAUGAGAUCACGUCCCACAUGUUGGAAGUGGUUCAGGCCCAUAUGCAGCUUUUUAGAAAGACGUUUGAUGUGAACAUGAAUACCACUGCAGCCUCGCUGUCUGCAUAUCCUAAAGGCAUCUCACCCAAUGAUAUGUCCACCAUGCAGGAGCAGGUGUUGCUUGUGAUCAGGAGGAACUCCGUCUGCGACUUCGGCAUCAGUUACGGUGAGCUGCAGACACAGCUGGACGACCUCAGAGUGAGCGACAUCAGAACUUCUUUGACGUCUCUGAUGAGUAAAGGUCUCGUCUUCCACACCGUUGACGAGCAUCAUUUCAAGUCGACAGACCUUUAGUGGAGGCGAGCGAAACCUCCUGGACUGCAGCUGAUCAGGACGGACCCACACUUUUAUGCACGUGGGGCGACUACGCCUGGAAGCACACGAGCCCCGGCAGGAAGACUCCACCGGUACGUUCAGGCGUCUACAGGCGGCUACAUCUUUAGAGAGAAACCUCAGAGCCAAAGCAGCAUCGCACCAGGGGAGCUGAAGGCAGGGGAGGAUGAAGAGCUGAGAGCCCUGCUGGGAUUGCCUGAAGAGCCAGAUAGACGUCUUUGUUUGCUGCUGUUGGUUCUCAGCAGGGCGUAAAAAACAAAAAGUCUGGAUUGAACGAAAGCCAAAACUGGUGAAUGUGAGCAGCUUCAAACUGCAGACCCAUUUGCAAAAGAGAAACUGCAUUACUCGGGAUCUGACGAGGCUGGAGAUUGACAGCUGUAGAGGCAUUAAUAAUUCAAAGCUUGUGCCGGUUUUUAUUUGAGACAAAAGGAGGAAGACACAGAAAAGCAACAUCCAGCGUCCAACAAAGAAAAACAAACACUUUGGUUUUAUGAAUCUAAAUAGGGAUUCAAUCUUAGGAAAACAUGAAUAUUAUCUUAUAUCUCCCAUAUUCCUCCAAAACUAAGUCUGACUCCUCUUUACUCAUGUGGGUGCAGAACCUGAGCGAGGCAGCCGGGACAUCCAGAGGCCCGGGAGAAGAAGGAGGAGCUCCUGCGUGUCCGUAGUGAUGAAGAGCUAAGUCAUCAAUCCAGGUCCAAUGUUCACUUUCAGCUCUGAAAACGGCUACAAGCUUCAAACAGCUGGGGGAAACUGCAGACGAUGGUCAUCAGUCAGCGCCUGCUUCCAACGUUACCCACGAUGAGAUAUCCGUUAUCAUCAGGAGCGUAGAUUUGAGGUUUCAUGAUCCUGCUCUUCCUCCUGAUUGGCUCAGUUGGUCGUUAUCAUCUAUUGGUAAGGUGGAUCAUCGCAGGGAGGGGUGACAUGGUUAGGUGGCGACCUCUAGUGGCCGGAGUAAUUAUAACAGGAGCGCCAGGUGACGUCGUACAACAAGCGAGUCCACAGAGGGAGGACGUUGGAGAGAGAACAUGACUUUCACCUGUUUGUGUCCUUUAAGAACGUUACGUACGUGAACUUACGUACGUAACGUUCUUAAGUUAAAUAACAAAUAUACUUAUUUUAACCUAAAACAUUUCUACCUAACGCUAACCAUUGAGACAACGUGGCAGCAGGCGCGGCUCGUCUGCAGCGUCGUGAUGCUCGUGAUAACAUUUCAUGCAGCUUUAAUAUCAAUAUAAGAGAUGCUGGAGCUUUAUGAUGACUCAUGGAUAAAUGUACCUGCACAGUGUCCAUGUGACUGUUAGCUGAUGUAUAAAGAU